UACGUAGGGAGCAAGCGUUGUCCGGAAUCAUUGGGCGUAAAGCGCGCGUAGGUGGCCUCAUAAGUCCGCUGUGAAAGUCAAAGGCUCAACCUUUGAAAGCCGGUGGAUACUGUGAGGCUAGAGUACGGAAGAGGCGAGUGGAAUUCCUGGUGUAGCGGUGGAAUGCGCAGAUAUCAGGAGGAACACCGGUGGCGAAGGCGGGUCUCUGGGCCGACACUGACGCUGAGGAGCGAAAGCGUGGGGAGCGAACAGG
rnacentral:rRNA from 1 species